GAUGAACGCUGGCGGCGUGCCUAAUACAUGCAAGUCGAGCGAACGGACGAGAAGCUUGCUUCUCUGAUGUUAGCGGCGGACGGGUGAGUAACACGUGGAUAACCUACCUAUAAGACUGGGAUAACUUCGGGCAACCGGAGCUAAUACCGGAUAAUAUUUUGAACCGCAUGGUUCAAAAGUGAAAGACGGUCUUGCUGUCACUUAUAGAUAGAUCCGCGCUGCAUUAGCUAGUUGGUAAGGUAACGGCUUACCAAGACAACGAUGCAUAGCCCACCUGAGAGAGUGAUCGGCCACACUGGAACUGAGACACGGUCCAGACUCCUACGGGAGGCAGCAGUAGGGAGUCUUCCGCGAAGGGCGAAAGCCUGACGGAGCAACGCCGCGUGAGUGAUGAAGGUCUUCGGAUCGUAAAACUCUGUUAUUAGGGAAGAACAUAUGUGUAAGUAACUGUGCACAUUUUGACGGUACCUAAUCAGAAAGCCACGGCUAACUACGUG
rnacentral:rRNA from 1 species